CAGCAGCCGCGGUAAUACGAGUGGUGCAAGCGUUAUUCGGAAUUAUUGGGCGUAAAGGGUGUGCAGACGGUUUGUUAGGUCACUUGUUAAAUUCUCCGGCUUAACCGGAGGCCAGCAUGUGAAACUAGCAGACUAGAGGGUGAGAGAGAGAAGUGGAAUUCUCGGAGUAGCGGUAAAAUGCGUAGAUCUCGAGAGGAACACCAAUGGCGAAGGCAGCUUCUUGGCUCACUCCUGACGUUCAUACACGAAAGCGUGGGAGCAAACAGGAUUAGAUACCCGGGUAGUCCCUGUCUCUUAUACC
rnacentral:rRNA from 1 species